rnacentral:rRNA from 1 species
UACGAAGGGGGCUAGCGUUGCUCGGAAUGACUGGGCGUAAAGGGCGCGUAGGCGGUUUGCACAGUCAGAUGUGAAAUUCCUGGGCUCAACCUGGGGACUGCGCUUGAGACGUGUGGGCUUGAGUGGGGAAGAGGGUCGUGGAAUUCCCAGUGUAGAGGUGAAAUUCGUAGAUAUCAGGAGGAACACCGGUGGUGUAGACGGCUCACUGGACCAUAACUGACGCUGAGACACGAAAGCGUGGGUAGCAAACAGG